rnacentral:lncRNA from 1 species
AGAAGCUAACCACUCCGCUGGUCACACUUCAGAACCAACCCCUCAAGGAAAGCUGGCUGAUAAUCCCAAUCCAUCUAAAUCAAAAGUUUCAAAGAGAAAGGCAUAUACUCAACCAAUAAAGUCUAGUGUCAACAAGGUUAUCACUAGGAAAAUUGCUUCUUGUCAAGUAUUAUUCAUGAACCUUAGUACAUAAUACUUGAAACGUAUGUCCUGUUACUAACAUGCUUCCAUUUAACAAUCUGCUGGGGCUAGAGGACCUGUUAAGAAUUUUGCUGGCCGAAGAGUCAGACCUCCAAUAGUUUCUAACGUGCUACAUAAAAUAAGGGCCAAGAGAACAAGAACAAAUCCUUCCUAAACUGUGUGUAUGUGUAAUUCAUAGAUAGGUGACGUGAUGUAAACAAGCAUUUUUUGGUGACUGGGUUGGACUUAGAUGGCAUUUUGUAAACUGUUUUGUUUUUUGUACUAGUUUUUGGGUUUUGAGUUUGGUGUAAACAAACAAUGAUGUGUUCUACUUUUGUUUGGAUGAUCUGAAUGGCUAUUUUUGUAUGAAUGGAAAUAUGGAUAGCAUUUUGCAUCCAAUUUAUUAUCAUGCUAUUGAAUGGUUGAUGGAUAUCA